UACGUAGGGGGCAAGCGUUGUCCGGAAUCAUUGGGCGUAAAGCGCGCGUAGGCGGCCCGGUAAGUCCGUUGUGAAAGUCAAAGGCUCAACCUCGAGACGCCGAUGGAAACCCCCUGGCUAGAGUCCGGAAGAGGAGAAUGGAAUUCCUGGUGUAGCGGUGAAAUGCGCAGAUAUCAGGAAGAACACCCGUGGCUAAGGCGGUUCUCUAGUACGGUACUGACGCUGAGACGCGAAAGCGUGGGGAGCGAACAGG
rnacentral:rRNA from 1 species